rnacentral:rRNA from 1 species
CCUACGGGCGACAGCAGUGGGGAAUAUUGCACAAUGGGGGAAACCCUGAUGCAGCGACGCCGCGUGAGGGAAGAAGGUUUUCGGAUUGUAAACCUCUGUCUUUGGUGACGAAAGAUGACGGUAGCCAAAGAGGAAGCUACGGCUAACUACGUGCCAGCAGCCGCGGUAAUACGUAGGUGGUAAGCGUGGUCCUGAUUUACUGGGGGUAAGGGGAGCGUAGGCGGGAAGAGAAGUUGAAGUUUUAAACUACCGGCUCAACCGAGAAUCGCGUUUGAAACUGUUUGUCUUGAGUGAAGUAGAGGCAGGCGGAAUUCCUAGUGUAGCGGUGAAAUGCGUAGAUAUUACGAGGAACACCAGUGGCGAAGGCGGCCUGCUGGGCUUUAACUGACGCUGAGGCUCGAAAGCGUGGGUAGCAAACAGGAUUAGAUACCCCUGUAGUC